UUGUGCUAGGUGGGGAGUUAGCGGUGCCCUUUACCCGAAAUCCGCUUUAUGCGGGGCUGAAUUCCCUCUAAAGGGUUUUUAAUCCUGAAAGCAUUAAGUCAUUCCCGAUCGGCCGCUGCGCAACAGACGGUCAUGAACCUCGUCAGGUCCGGGAGGAAGCAGCGAUAAGUGAUGCAGUCUGUGUCGUGGAUUGAUUCCGAUCAAUUUUAUGGCUUAUAUGUUUUGAGGAAAAGAUUCGAUAGUGGGUGCACAA
rnacentral:SRP_RNA from 1 species